GACUUUGUGUUUUGGUGCGGUGGUGGACACUGGGUCCCCUAGGAGCCUCCCCAGGCUUAAUGAUUGUCCAGAAGGCGGCUAUAAAGGGAGCCUGGGAGGCUGGGUGGAGGAGGGAGCAGAAAAAACCCAACUCAGCAGAUCUGGGAACUGUGAGAGCGGCAAGCAGGAACUGUGGUCAGAGGCUGUGCGUCUUGGCUGGUAGGGCCUGCUCUUUUCUACCAUGGCAGCCCAGGGCUAUGGCUAUUAUCGCACUGUGAUCUUCUCAGCCAUGUUUGGGGGCUACAGCCUGUAUUACUUCAAUCGCAAGACCUUCUCCUUUGUCAUGCCAUCAUUGGUGGAAGAGAUCCCUUUGGACAAGGAUGAUUUGGGGUUCAUCACCAGCAGCCAGUCGGCAGCUUAUGCUAUCAGCAAGUUUGUCAGUGGGGUGCUGUCUGACCAGAUGAGUGCUCGCUGGCUCUUCUCUUCUGGGCUGCUCCUGGUUGGCCUGGUCAACAUAUUCUUUUCCUGGAGCUCCACAGUACCUGUCUUUGCUGCCCUCUGGUUCCUUAAUGGCC
rnacentral:sRNA from 1 species